UACGUAGGGUGCGAGCGUUGUCCGGAAUUAUUGGGCGUAAAGGGCUCGUAGGCGGUCUGUUGCGUCGGGAGUGAAAACUCAGGGCUUAACCCUGAGCCUGCUUCCGAUACGGGCAGACUAGAGGUAUGCAGGGGAGAACGGAAUUCCUGGUGUAGCGGUGAAAUGCGCAGAUAUCGGUAGGAACACCAGUGGCGAAGGCGGUCUCCUGGGGCAUUCUUGACGCUGAGGCGCGAAAGCUGGGGGGAGCGAACGGG
rnacentral:rRNA from 1 species